rnacentral:pre_miRNA from 1 species
UCUUUGGUUAUCUAGCUGUAUGAGUAUUCUGACAUCAUAAAGCUAGGUUACCGGAGUUA